GCCAGGUGCAGUGGCGCAUGCCUGUAAUCCCAAUGGCUCAGGAGGCUGAGGCAGGAGGAUCGCAAGUUCAAAGCCAGCCUCAGCAAAAGCAAGGUGAGAGUCUGUCUCUA
rnacentral:sRNA from 1 species